rnacentral:lncRNA from 1 species
GAGGGACCGCAGUAGAGAUCGAGUCAAGAGCUGCCCGGAAAGCGCUCAGAGUUGGGGUGUCAAGGAGGCCUGUCAAAGGACAAAAGAUGAGAUUACUGGGCGGCAGGGUGCCCCAAACGUCCUAGGAACUGCGCCUCCGCGCUUCCUGUUAGCUUGCCGCCAAGUUUUUCUAGAGGAGUCGCUCCUUUUGGCAGGGUAGGUCUACUGGGUUCUUGGCACAGUACCAUAUGGACCUGGACAAAGCAUUGUUAAGUUACAGAUUCCAUAUUGGAGAUCUUUGAUCACAGGAAACCACCAGGAAAAACAAACAAAUGGUAAGAUUCACGUUUCUUUUGGGACUAUUGUGUAUGAGGCAAAAUGUUUGCCAACAUUUUUUUUUCAUACAACACAUAUAUUGAGCAUCCACUGCUGUGCUCCACUCCGGCCAUGUAACGAUGAGUAAAAACAGAUAAAACCCCUGCUCAUAAAGCUAAUAGUUUAGUGUAACAGAUCACCAGUAACCAGAUAACCACACAGAAAUAUACAAAUGCAAAUUUAAC